GACAGAGGGUGCAAACGUUGUUCGGAAUUACUGGGCGCAAAGCGCGUGUAGGCGGUUCGUAAAGUCGGAUGUGAAAGCCCUGGGCUUAACCCAGGAAGUGCAUUCGAAACUCACGAACUUGAGUCCCGGAGAGGAAGGCGGAAUUCUCGGUGUAGAGGUGAAAUUCGUAGAUAUCGAGAGGAACAUCUGUGGCGAAGGCGGCCUUCUGGACGGUGACUGACGCUGAGACGCGAAAGCGUGGGGAGCAAACAGG
rnacentral:rRNA from 1 species